rnacentral:rRNA from 1 species
AUUGAACGCUGGCGGCAUGCUUUACACAUGCAAGUCGAACGGCAGCACGGGGGCAACCCUGGUGGCGAGUGGCGAACGGGUGAGUAAUAUAUCGGAACGUACCCGGAAAUGGGGGAUAACGUAGCGAAAGUUACGCUAAUACCGCAUAUGCCCUAAGGGGGAAAGCGGGGGAUUCGCAAGAACCUCGCGUUUUCGGAGCGGCCGAUAUCGGAUUAGCUAGUAGGUGAGGUAAAGGCUCACCUAGGCGACGAUCCGUAGCUGGUCUGAGAGGACGACCAGCCACACUGGAACUGAGACACGGUCCAGACUCCUACGGGAGGCAGCAGUGGGGAAUUUUGGACAAUGGGCGCAAGCCUGAUCCAGCCAUGCCGCGUGAGUGAAGAAGGCCUUCGGUU